rnacentral:rRNA from 1 species
GUGGGGAAUAUUGGACAAUGGGCGAAAGCCUGAUCCAGCCAUGCCGCGUGUGUGAAGAAGGUCUUCGGAUUGUAAAGCACUUUAAGUUGGGAGGAAGGGCAGUAAGUUAAUACCUUGCUGUUUUGACGUUACCGACAGAAUAAGCACCGGCUAACUUCGUGCCAGCAGCCGCGGUAAUACGAAGGGUGCAAGCGUUAAUCGGAAUUACUGGGCGUAAAGCGCGCGUAGGUGGGUUUGUAAGUUGGAGGUGAAAUCCCCGGGCUCAACCUGGGAACUGCCUCCAAAACUGCAUGACUAGAGUACGGUAGAGGGUAGUGGAAUUUCCUGUGUAGCGGUGAAAUGCGUAGAUAUAGGAAGGAACACCAGUGGCGAAGGCGACUACCUGGACUGAUACUGACACUGAGGUGCGAAAGCGUGGGGAGCAAACAGGAUUAGAAACCCGGGUAGUCC